rnacentral:rRNA from 1 species
UACGUAGGGGGCAAGCGUUGUCCGGAAUCAUUGGGCGUAAAGCGCGCGUAGGCGGCCCGGUAAGUCCGCUGUAAAAAGUCCAGGGCUCAACCCUGGAAAGCCGGUGGAUACUGUCGGGCUAGAGUCCGGGAAGAGGCGAGUGGAAUUCCUGGGUGUAGCGGUGGAAUGCGCGGAUAUCAGGAGGAACACCGAUGGCGAAGGCAGCUCGCUGGGACGGUACUGACGCUGAGGUGCGAAAGCGUGGGGAGCAAACAGG